GGUAUAGCAACUGAAGGAUGUUGCUGGUUUGAUAAAAAAACAUUGGUUUGUAUAGAACACUUGCAAAUAUAUUUUCAGUAGUAAAUGUGAGCUUGCGGCGCAGACCGCUACUGGGAGUUGUAAUUUUAUUUGUGUUGUUUUCUUAUUUAGUCACUAGGUGGUGUGCCAUACGUUAUGCAAACAAGUUGCCUCGCUUUGUUUACGUUUUGGACUUGCCAGUUUGCGCGCCGAAUCCGAAACGAUGUCCUCGCAGCAGGUUCGGCGGCUGGGUCCUCAUGUUUCAGAGAGGCAGCGCGAGAUACUGGUGUCAUUUGUUGAAGAGCACCCCUACCUUGCAAAGGCGUCGUGUGUGCUGGGUCAACAGCUGACGGCGGCGCGCAAGGAGGAGCUCUGGCAGCAAGUGACUGCCUUGCUGAACACUGAGGGCCCGGCAGUGAAAACUGCAGCCCAAUGGCGCGGCGUGUGGAAAAAGGACGUCUAUAAGGCCCGCCGUGAUGCGGCCGCCUUGCACGCCGAAAGCAGGUAAGCACACUCGUUGACGGAGCUUUUGCGCACCAUAUUCUAACAAACGUGUUAAUCACAGAGGAACCGGAGGAGGCAGCCUGCCCGGACCGCGAGGGCGCGUCCUUUCCUUAGUUGGAAGGGCGAGCGCCAUCGGAGUCUGCCCGCCGUUCUUCGAGCCCGACGAAGAGGGGGAAAGCGCUGGUGACGCGGCAAGUGCUGAGUCCCAUGUGUCUGUCGGCACAGCGCCUGGGACAAGCGGCAUAAGAGCGAGACCACUCCAGCCCGCGACAGCGGAGAGGCGUCGGGAGGAUGCAGGUGGCCCUAGUAGUCAGACACGUAAGUGUACAACAGACGUCUUCACAAUUUUUUACUUACUUAUUGUGAACACAUACUUUUCAGAAACAUUGUCAUUACAGAACGUGCA